rnacentral:rRNA from 1 species
CGAGCACGCGCGUGUGGCAUAUCAAUAAGCGGAGGAAAAGAAACUAACAAGGAUUCCCUAGUAACGGCGAGUGAAGCGGGAAAGAGCUCAAAUUUGAAAUCUUAAAGGUUUCCCUUGACGAAUUGUAGUUGUAGAAGUGUUUUCUGUUAGUGGAGUGGCAAAAGCUCUUUGGAAUAGGACAUCAUAGAGGGUGAGAAUCCCGUAUUUGGUCAUUCCUCCUAGCGUUGUGAUACACUUUCAACGAGUCGGAUUGUUUGGGAAUGCAGUCCAAAAUGGGUGGUAAAUUUCAUCUAAAGCUAAAUAUUGGCGAGAGACCGAUAGCGAACAAGUACCGUGAGGGAAAGAUGAAAAGAACUUUGAAAAGAGAGUUAAACAGUACGUGAAAUUGUCAAAAGGGAAGCGUUUGACACCAGUGUUGUUUUUCCGAAAAUCAAUUACGAAUGUUUUGUUUUUGAGGAAGUUAUGACUUCAUCGGCUUGCUUCUUUCUUUACGAAACUUUCUUAAUGCACUUUUCGGUUAACAAGUCAACAUCAAUUUCUUUUGUUGUAAAAGGGUAUGAGGAAGGUGGCUUUCUUUUCGGAGAAAGUGUUUAUAGCCUUGUGCCUCUGCAAUCGGAGAGAUUGAGGUCUGCAGCGUAGAUCCUUCGGGGUUAGAUACACUUUGUGCUAAGUUAUAGCUUUUCAUAGACAACUUGUUGACUAUGUUUAGUCUUGUAGCUUACUCGCUGAUGCUAUUUUACCUACGCUUAGGAUGUUGAUGUGAUACUGCGAGCA